rnacentral:rRNA from 1 species
CGUGAUGCGACUGCCAUGCAGUCGACGGCAGCGCGAGAGAGCUUGCUCUCUUGGCGGCGAGUGGCGGACGGGUGAGUAAUAUAUCGGAACGUGCCCAGUAGCGGGGGAUAACUACUCGAAAGAGUGGCUAAUACCGCAUACGCCCUACGGGGGAAAGGGGGGGAUCGCAAGACCUCUCACUAUUGGAGCGGCCGAUAUCGGAUUAGCUAGUUGGUGGGGUAAAGGCUCACCAAGGCAACGAUCCGUAGCUGGUUUGAGAGGACGACCAGCCACACUGGGACUGAGACACGGCCCAGACUCCUACGGGAGGCAGCAGUGGGGAAUUUUGGACAAUGGGGGAAACCCUGAUCCAGCCAUCCCGCGUGUAUGAUGAAGGCCUUCGGGUUGUAAAGUACUUUUGGCAGAGAAGAAAAGGUAUCCCCUAAUACGGGAUACUGCUGACGGUAUCUGCAGAAUAAGCACCGGCUAACUACGUGCCAGCAGCCGCGGUAAUACGUAGGGUGCAAGCGUUAAUCGGAAUUACUGGGCGUAAAGCGUGUGUAGGCGGUUCGGAAAGAAAGAUGUGAAAUCCCAGGGCUCAACCUUGGAACUGCAUUUUUAACUGCCGAGCUAGAGUAUGUCAGAGGGGGGUAGAAUUCCACGUGUAGCAGUGAAAUGCGUAGAUAUGUGGAGGAAUACCGAUGGCGAAGGCGGCCCCCUGGGAUAAUACUGACGCUCAGACACGAAAGCGUGGGGAGCAAACAGGAUUAGAUACCCUGGUAGUCCACGCCCUAAACGAUGUCAACUAGCUGUGGGGCCGUUAGGCCUUAGUCAGCCCAGCUAACGCGUGAAGUUGACCGCCUGGGGGAGUACGGUCGCAGAUUAAUACUCAUAUGGAUUGACGGGGACCCGCACAAGCGGUGGAUGAUGUGGAUAAUCGAUGCAUCGCGAAAACCUUACUUACCUUGACAUUGUCUGGAAGUCGAAGAGAUUGUCUGGCUCGCAGGAAUCGAACAAGGUCUGCAUGCUGUCCUAGCUCUGUCGGAAGUGAUUAGUCCCACAGCAACUGCAUAGUGCACGUAGACCGUAUGAAUGCCAGUGCCAAUUCAUAAAGGUGA